AACGAACGCUGGCGGCAUGCCUAACACAUGCAAGUCGAACGGGAACUUCCGGGCUAGUUGCGCACGUGUGCGUAACGAGUGGUGACCUGCCCUUAGGUGCGCUGUAAUUCCCCGAAAGGUGUGCUAAUACCGGAUAAUGUCUUCCGGGCAAGGAUUUAUCGUCUGUGGAUGGGCCCGCGUUGGAUUAGCUAGUGGGUAGGGUAAAAGCCUACCAAGGCGUCGGUCGAUAGCUGGUCUGAGAGGGUGAUCAGCGGCACUGGGACUGAGACACGGCCCAGACUGCUGCGGGAGGCAGGAGUGGUGAACACUGGGCAAUGGGCGGAGGCAUGAUCCCGCCAUGGCGCGUGAGUGAUGAAGGCCUGAGGGUUGUAAAGGUCUGGUACGCGGGGUGAUUAUGACGGUACCUGGAGAAGAAGCUCCGGCUAACUCCGUG
rnacentral:rRNA from 1 species